rnacentral:rRNA from 1 species
GAUGAACGCUGGCGGCGUGCCUAAUACAUGCAAGUCGAGCGAACAGAUGAGGAGCUUGCUCCUCUGACGUUAGCGGCGGACGGGUGAGUAACACGUGGAUAACCUACCUAUAAGACUGGGAUAACUUCGGGAAACCGGAGCUAAUACCGGAUAAUAUAUUGAACCGCAUGGUUCAAUAGUGAAAGACGGUUUUGCUGUCACUUAUAGAUGGAUCCGCGCCGCAUUAGCUAGUUGGUAAGGUAACGGCUUACCAAGGCGACGAUGCGUAGCCGACCUGAGAGGGUGAUCGGCCACACUGGAACUGAGAGACGGUCCAGACUCCUACGGGAGGCAGCAGUAGGGAAUCUUCCGCAAUGGGCGAAAGCCUGACGGAGCAACGCCGCGUGAGUGAUGAAGGUCUUCGGAUCGUAAAACUCUGUUAUUAGGGAAGAACAAAUGUGUAAGUAACUAUGCACGUCUUGACGGUACCUAAUCAGAAAGCCACGGCUAACUACGUG